AGAACCAAACGACCCCUUACCUUAUCUCUUCUCACUUCAAGACCUAGAUACCCUAGCUCCUUCCAUCACUUCACAGCCACCACACCCUUAGGACCGUCGGUCAAAUGCUUCCACCGACGCUGCUUCCUCACAUCACCUCAUCCAUCACCUUUUUCCUAACAUUUGAGAGCUAUCACAGCUCUGUUGAUGUCUGCGAAAGGGAAAACUCGAAGAUCUUUCGGGUUGAAGCUUACUUUGUCUUCAAUUCAAUGGGUAUAGACACAAAUCGACUCAAACGGCUCGAAAGGACUCAUCCCAUCACAUCACCUUUGCAAAAGGUGCGAAAUUGACUCCCUCUUCACCAUUUUUUUCUUCAGAAUUCUCUUAAGUUUCCCACUUUUUUAUUUGUUUGAAAUUCAAACUCAAAGCUUCUCAUGGAAGCCGUUGAGUCCCCCUAAUCUCAGCCUAUAAAUACAGACCCCUUGGCUGUGUUUAAGGAGAGAAGUUUCUUGACAGCUAAAAAAUCCCCUUAAAGUUAACAAUUGGAAAAUAUGCCCUUUUCUUUUCAUAAAGUUCACAACUAGAGAAAAUCUCAACUAGAGAAAAUCUCUCUUUACUAUAAGCUUGGAUUCUUAGAAAAUCAACCUUUAACUCUAAGUCUUUUGGCUGUCUAAAAAUCUUCUUUCAAGUUCUCAGCUAAACAACAAACUACUUCGAGCGGAUUCGAGGACUCGACGACAACAAUAGCCUCAGUUCGCUAUCCCUGUCCCAGAGAAGGUCAGUAAUCGACCUCAACUUUCCUUUAAUUUCAGUUUGUAGAUAAAGUUUCCAGGAUGUUAUCGUACUUCGUUUGAUUUUCUAUUUUGAGGGUAUAUCUAGAACCUGCAAAUCUUGUUUCCUUGUUUAGAUUUUUGUUUAAAGGGGAUUAGAAUCAGUGUUCUUCUUCUUAUUUUGAUGAAAUCAGUAUGUAAGAAUGGCCUUGAAGUGAAUUAAGAACGUUAAGGGAAAUAUUUCAUAACCUGUCGAAUACAUGAACAAUUGCAUCGCUAGUUUAAAUUAUGUUUUAAAUUCUUUUUAAAAAAAAUAAAAUAAGAGGCAAACUACUUUGCUAUGGUUUUAUAUUAUGAAAUAUGGGUUGUUGAGAACUAAUCUAUUUUGGUAAGCUCUGUUAGACCUAAGUGUGUGUUAUUCCCCUGUUGAGUAUCACAGGAUUAAUGAAAGUCUUUUAGUUUUAAUUACAAUGUUGUGAUAAGUGUCUUGUUGAGCGUCUUUUCUGCUUGCUAUCCCUAUGUGAUAAACAGCACCGUAUCUUUAGCUAAAUUUGUAUAUGUAGUGAAGGCAUGUUGUGAAUUUACAUUAUGAUUGCUCUUCUGAUAUACACAGGGCUUUAUAUUUGAAAAAAAAAACUUGCUUCCUUUUCUUUGAAGAAAUUAAAAAAAAAAAAGACUAAGUUUGGGAUCUUGUAAUAGACAUGUAAUAUAGGCCUGUAGGCUGUCUUGUAUUCAUUUAUAAGAACGGAUCAUGGAAAAUUGUUUAAAGCUUGAUCAUUAUUUGUUUCUCUUGUGUGUCCAUUUUAAAAAUAGCAAAAAAAUGUGAAAUGGAUAAGUUGUUGUGUAUUACCUGACUCUGGAUGGGACUUAUCUUGAGUUAGUGUUGUGUUAUGUUGUAAGAUUAAAAAAAAAAAGAGAUUCUGUUAUUGACAAUGAAUAGUUUUUGUCAAACACCUUGUCUAGUAUCUGAACCAUCCUCUUUGGUUUUGUUCUGUUCACGUUACUAGGAAUGGUUUUUUAAUUCAAUGAGGAACAACAUGUUGGUGGAAUCUGGUUUGCCCUUUUUAAAAUGUAUAGUCAUUUGUAUUCUUAGCCUAUAUUGCUAGCAAACUCUUUUCAAGAUAACAAGUUACGAGAUUUCUAAAUUUUGGGUAGAGUUUAUUAUGAGUUUCUUAGUUUGGCUGCAGGUUUUUGAUGAACUCAAUCAUUCACAAAAAUAAAAAUCUAAAAUUUGUUUGCUUGUCUAUUUACUUGUGUGAAUGGAACAUCAGUACUUGAAUAUAGUAACUAUCUUUGUGUUCUUAUGAGUUGUUGAUGAUGAGAACUUGUCUAAAGGCAAAAGUUGCUAAGAUUUGUGAAAACUUUGGCUGUUUGUUUUCUUUAAAAAUUAUAGGAGAUAACAUCGAAUACCAUAUCUUUUAUGAGCUUUUUUUUACAAGCUGAACUGCUUCUUGCUGGAAAAAAAAAUUCCAAAACUGCGAAGGAUGUAUUCAUGACUAAGUUACUAUUGUGUCUUUUCUUCUAAAACUAGCAAAUGUCUACGAUAGUAAAGUGGUCAUGCAUUACUUAAGUUUUGGGAAAAACUUAUCUUAAGUUGAUGUUGUGUUAUGUCAGAAGGUAAAAAUGAGGUUCUGGUGUGAAUUUUGAACACUUUAUGUUAAACAUGUGGCCACCCUCUCUGGUUUCAUUUUUUUAUUCAAAGUCAUGUUGGCAUGAUGUUUGGCUUUGUAGAAGGGAUAACUUUGAUUCUUGUUUUCCCUGUAUGAUGCAUAAUACGAUGAAGGAAUUCCCUCAUAAGUCUCGAAGGUAUAGACUAAUGAAUUGGUGGUUAAAUAGAUAUAUGUAGUGUUGUGUCAUUCAUAGAUUAAUAAGGAAUAAAACAACUGGAAGAUAUGAUAGUAAGUGUCCUUAUUUCUGUUUAAAUAGCUAAAUAAGUGUGAGAGAGGUCUUGAAAUAUGUCAGGAUUAUUUUGGAACAUUCAUGAAGUUGAUAAAACUGUAUUUGUUUUGAAUUAAAAUGCAGUGUUACUCUGUUCUGUUUUAUCCUUCCUCUUAUUAAAGAAUCUGAAAAUUCUGAGCAUUAGAAUAAGGCAAUAUAAGAUUUGGAAUAUGUUCUUGAAGUAACACGAACCAUGUUUGUUCAUACUCGUCAAUAUGUUCAAGUCCAGUGUCUGUUUCUUAUUUCCUUUGUCUGUCCCUAAGAUGUUGCUAGCAUGAACUUGUAGAGCAAGUUGGGUUUGCUAAGGUUUAUUUUCUAUCUUGUCACUGGUUCUGUUUUGGUAUUGCUCCUAGCCCCUUCAUAAGUCUUGAAAUAAAUCGAGAUUUUGGUGAAUGAAAACUUUGUGCAAUUUUUUAGUUCAAACAACUUUAGCAUGUUUUCUUAGUAUUUGUGUGCUUUCUCCCUGAUGAAAAUUAUGGGUAUUUUAAGUUAUUGAAUAUGCUCGGUUUAUUUCAAACUUUUAAUAACUGUGAAUAGCAUAAAUCAUUCUUUUGGCAGAUUAAAUGGACACCGUGUUGGAAGAUUUCUAGAAAUCUGUUUAGUCUUAGCGUAUAAUUGUAUAUGUCUUGCUAUUUAAUUUGAGGAUUCAUAUGUUUGUCAUAAGCUACUAAUCCUUAUCCUUUUCUUUUUUUACAUGGAAUACAUGGAGCACCUUGAGACUGAGCUAUAACCUGCGUCUGCUCCACUCCGUUCCUCUCCAGUCACUAUUUCUUACUUCUUGCGUUGGAGUCUCCUAGUUCGGCAUUGGAUUCUUGAAAGAGAUGUCCAGCUUCUUCUCUCUUCUUUUGGCCUCGCAUUUCCUUGUUAUUGUAUUUGUUGCAUUACUUGAACUAACAGUUGCCUUUUGAGUUUUGGUAUUGAUACACUUUUGUUUGUGACUCAAUUUUCUAUAGAACUUUCAGGUGUGAUUUGGCAAAGCUUA